GUAAUUAUGACCACUAGUUGAUCUCACCACCUGUGAAAAAUACUGCUCUAAAACUAAUUAUUAUAGUUAUAAAAAUUACCUAUAUACAUUCCAACUUGCAGGUAUCAAAGCAAUUGACUCCGUAAACACACUGCAGAUAUAAAGUAUCAUGGUUAAGUGUAAUCACUUAGCAUUUAUAAUAUGCCCUCAAGUCUUUCUCUUUAAAAAUUUUUAGCUGUAGAUGAAUACAAUACUUUGUUUGUUUGUUUUUAUGCAGUGCUGAAGAUCAAACCCAGGGCCUCACAUGCUAGACAAGUGCUCUACCACUCAGCUACACCCCCGACCCGUGCCCUCAAUUCUUGCACAAAUAGAAUGGCUUCCAUAAGAAUACAAGGAAAACAAAGGCACAAGUGACAGACACACAUAAUAAACCUGUAUAUGUACAGAAAAAGUCACAUCAUUUCUAUACAGCAGUACAAAGGACAAAGAAAUAAAGAUAAUCAGGUGCAGAAUGAGUUGAGUUACCAAAUCCAGACUGGUUUUAAUGUCAUUGAAAGCAUUCCAAAGUCCUGGCAUCUUCGCUAUAUAUUUUUGGCUUAUGAGAUUAGUCCUAGUACAUCAAAUUACUAUUCCCUCAGUGGUCCUGGUCGGAAGCUUUCUGGCUGAUCUUUUGGCACAUUAACAUUGCUGAAUGAGUAUUAAUGUCCCCAAAACUAGAUUUUGUUGCAUGUGGAUGAGUCAUGUGAACAGCUCCUUGGGAAGAAAUGGGACUUGUGGGGAGGGAGAAAAAAGCAUACUGCUAAAAUAAGCACAUGUUUAUUUCAUGAGUAAUGAAAACUGGUCAGAGCAAUAUAUUGUAAUGUUCCUUUAACAUUUCUCAACUUUCUGAUCAGCAACAUUGAAAGCCUAAUAUUUAAAAAUUGUCUUUAUGCCUAUACCUGUGCACUGAAUCUCUUCCAAAUUGAGCAGUCAAAUCUGUUUAAUCUAAAUCACUUUGCAAACUUCAUUACUUUACUUGGCUUUUUAAAAAUCCUAUCAAAUUUAAUAAGGACAUAUCCUGCAGCUGGUUAUCACUUAAAUCUUAUUAUUUGGUCAUUUAGAU
rnacentral:lncRNA from 1 species